rnacentral:rRNA from 1 species
UUGUACACACCGCCCGUCGCUACUACCGAUUGAAUGGCUCAGUGAGGCCUUCGGACUGGCUCGAAGAGGUUGGCAACGACCACUUCGAGCCGGAAAGUUCGUCAAACUCGGUCAUUUAGAGGAAGUAAAAGUCGUAACAAGGUUUCCGUAGGUGAACCUGCGGAAGGAUCAUUA